AGCAGCCGCGGUAAUUCCAGCUCCAAUAGCGUAUAUUAAAGUUGCUGCAGUUAAAAAGCUCGUAGUUGAAUUUCGGGACCAAUAUGUCGGUCGUGCCUCGGUACGUACUGGCAUCGUUGGUUUCUCCCUUCUGACGAACCAUGGUGUCAUUUAUUUGGUGUCGUGGGGAAUCAGGACUGUUACUUUGAAAAAUUAGAGUGUUUAAAGCAGGCUCACGCUUGAAUACAUUAGCAUGGAAUAAUGAAAUAGGACGUUUGAUUCUAUUUUGUUGGUUUCUAGGAUCGACGUAAUGAUUAAUAGGGAUAGUUGGGGGCAUUAGUAUUCAAUUGUCAGAGGUGAAAUUCUUGGAUUUAUUGAAGACUAACUACUGCGAAAGCAUUUGCCAAGGAUGUUUUCAUUAAUCAAGAACGAAAGUUAGGGGAUCGAAGACGAUCAGAUACCGUCGUAGUCUUAACCAUAAACUAUGCCGACUAGGGAUCGGAUGAUGUUAAUUUUUAAUGUACUCA
rnacentral:rRNA from 1 species